GAAGAGCACAUGCCAAUCAGCAUAUCCUAUACCCAUGGUCACAGUGAUUGGUUCUGGGAUGAGCACAUCAUCUGGGUCAAAUUCUCGGAUUUUGUUUAAGUUAUCCUAUGAGCAGAUUCUUUGCGUGUAAACAUUAAAGUUUCUGGCACUACUAGGGAAAAAUGUGUUUGAAAAGUCACACCCAGGACUGAGGUUAAAAAAAAAUUGAGAAAUGGUGAGAGAUAGUCUGGGAUUCCAUUGAGACUUGGGUAGAAACUCUCUUGCAUGUUGUUUAAUAACCGAUUACACCCCUUUUUAAAAUUUAACCAGACUGAGCAUGGCUUUGCAACUGAAAACAUUCUGUGUGUGGAACUAGUAAUUUUGGUUAAUUAGAUCUUCCUUUAUUUUGGCUUCUUUCCCUUGUUUAAAAUUCUUACAAUUUUUUUCCUCAUUUCACUCUUCUUGGACAUCAUCUCUAGCCUUCUUUUCGAUAAAAGGUCAGUGGUCUCCCCAUUUUCUCACAGAUAUCACUUACUUCAAUUGACAUUUACACUUGAGUAAACUUAAACUUCUCUGACCUUUUUUAAAAGCUGGAUUUUAAAGAGAUAUUUUCUCUGUUUUAAACCAGUAUAUUAUUAUUGCUUUUCUGUGUAAAAGGCCACAUUGCUUCUUCCAGUUUUUUUUUUUUCCUAUACUUUGUGUACCAUUUAGAUAUUCUUUUCCUUCGUUAAAAUGGGGGUCUCUUACCUUCUCUUUCUUUUCUCUGUAGUGUAGGAUGCAUGUGUUUUGUUGACACGUGGGAACUACUUAGGAGUAAGUUUAAAAAAAUAUUUAGUCAUUUCCACACACCAUUCUUAGUCAUGUGAAAUAAAUAUAGGAAUAAAUCAGCCCUUAAAUAUUCCAUCUAGUGCUGAAAAAUGAAAAACAACAGAUGUAGGCCUUUGAGUGGGAGAAAAUACUGCUAGAUACAAGACUAAUGUCUGCCUUAGUUUAAAUAUUCAAUUCAGUUUGAGAAAGAUAUGGUUAGCCCUUCUCCUGGCUAAAUUUUGGUAAUCCACCUGCAAAGGAGGAAUAAGACAUAGUUUCAGAGUUCACCUGUCAGUGUUGAUCCCAAGAAUAUUUUCAGUCAAUCCAUCUGUAAAUGACUCUAUAUUCCUCCUUCCAUUUGGGGAUAAUGUUUCUCACUUGACUUCUUGUCCAUUGUUCAGCUCCGUCAAGCACUUCCUACAGUCCCCUCUCUUAAUGGCAUCUUGCGUUGCAUCUUCUUCAGGCACUGUGCCAUGCUUGAUUCCCAUUAUCUCACUUAACUCUCAUAAUUACCCCAAAAUACAUCUGUAAUACGGGCAUAAUCAGAGUAGGUGAGGAAACCAAGUUUUGCAGGUUUAUGAACUUGCCUGGGAUCCUUCAGCCCAUGAGGGGUAGAGCUGAAGCCUAUACUGAGAUUUGUCUGAGUCCAGAAGCUUCAUGCCAACUGUGGCUAAGUACUCUCUUCACUUAAAACUGAGGGUCCUAGGUGGAUAAGGCAAAUACCUCUGAAUGAAUACAUGAAAUUUUUUAUAAUGGGAUACAUCCAUAAGACAAAGGCCAAUCUUACUUGGAUUGAUUUCAUGCUGCUAUAACAUUCUGUUGGGGCACUGUUGGGGGUGGACUGUUAUUCCUAUAAUCAUAGACUGCUGGGGCCAGUUCCCCCUGGGGUGUUUUUGUCCAUAAAAAUUCUGGGUACCAUAAAGUCUUCUCUAGUGCUUUCUGCAAUAUUUAAAAAGUCAGUUCCCUAAUGUUACUUGCUGUUAUUUUUAAGGUCUAUUGGUCCCAGAUACUAUAAAUAUAUGUAUUUCAUAUAUUCAGAAAUAUUAUCAACAAAUCAUUCAGAAUUAAAACCAAUUUGAGCAUCAGACUAUUGGACAUACUUGAUCACUCCUGAUGUAUCCUUGGGUCUGCUACUUACUAUUUUCUCAGGGGGCCACACAAAAGAAACACUCAGAGCAGAGUCUUGCAGCCAGCAAGAUCAUAGGCUAGGACCUGAAGGCUGAUGAUAACUUAGAUCCCUCAGGACCUGGCUGGAGGUUCUGAUUUCCCAUCUGGCAUGGAUGGAGCUUUAACAUCCAGGCUUUUAACACUGAGACACCUCUGUAGAGUUAUAGCCACCAGGACCAGAAGCACAAUAGAAUUCACUCUAAGAGAGGGAAAGGGGACAUCUUAUCCCUCAGCUCUUCAGACUUCUGACUCUUUCUGAGGCAGGAGCACUGGGUAUGGAAUGAAAUUCUUGUUGGAAUCAUCAUUGAUGCCAGGCUAGUGGCAGGGUGAGUGUAUUUCUUUGUCCAAAGGAAGUUUUGAAAUCAUGUCAGUCUCCACAGUGAGCCUUUUGGAGGGCUGGAGGGUAGAUUCUCACUGGAAAAAGCCCCACUUGCCUGGCUUGGCAUGGUGUUUUUCCCUGUGGAUGCCCUCCUCCUGGAAAGAUAGGAACGCACACAGGCAGUUCAGCCCUUACUCUGGGUAUGUGCAGAGAUGGGACAGCAGUCUGCAAAACAUGAAAAGUCAAUUCACAAAGGCUUAAAUUUCAACCUUUGUGACAUUUGGAAUCUUGGUUUGUCUAAGAAAUCCUUGUAUUAGAUAUUCACUUGAUCUGACUUAAAAUCCUGGGGUGUAUUAUCAUAGGCAAUCUUUGAAAACUGUGCCUGAGUUAGGCUCUGCAGGGGCUAAUAUUUCACCAACAGAUCCUGCUUUGUGCCAAAAACUAAGUUAUCAUAUGUGUUCAGUGUAUAAAAGGACACCAACCAAGGAAACAAAUAAUGCAGAGUGAGGUUUAUCUAGAGGGUGAGUGUUUUUUUUAAGUCACUUUAUCCCACAACCAGUUCAAGUGGGAGAGAAUGCCUUCAUAAUAUUACAUUCAUUAAAACAAACCAUGUUAGGAGUUCUCUUGUGGUGCAGUGGGUUAGGGAUCCUGUGUUGUCACUGCUAUGGCUAGUGUUGCUGCUGUGGUGCAGGUUUGAUCCCUGGGUUGGAAACUUCUGCAUGUCAAGGGCAUGGCCAAAAAAUAUUUAAAAAAAAGAAAAACAAACCAUGAGAGAGGAAAAGUACUACUGAUGUCAAUUUCAUGACAUUGUUGGUCUGGCUUAAUGAGCAAACUGCAUUUCUAAUUAGUAACAGUUAUUUUACUUUCCUUCACAGAAGAAGGUUAUUGGUAUUCUCCAGUUCUCAGGGUGGGGUGGGAAAUCACUUACAAAGUGAAGUAUUUUACAUGUGAGGUAAACCAUAAAUCUUGUUGACCUCCUUGCAGUUAGAAGCAUUUAAAAGUGCAUUAGUCCUGUUUUCUUGGGAGUAACAUUUAAGAAAAGUCACCUGUCAGUUAUUAAGUAACUUCUAGACACCUGGUUCUACCAUGAGACAGAAAUAAUGUGGCCACUUCUGGUGAGUAGUGACAGAUUGGUUUUUAAGGAGACAAACAAUUUUAAAGCAGUUGUCUUCAUGAGUCCUAGUAGAGGGAUAUGCCUUAAUAGACGGUUUAUAAAAACAAUUCAAGCACUAACAUGUUUGUGCUUUUUCUGAAUGUGAAUGUGAGAAGCAGAUACCUUGCCUGAUGGACAUCGGCUGAUUUUAAUUUCUUCAAAUAGAGAAAGGACAUAAAUAUGAACCCAGUUGCGAGCUCAUCGAGGGCAUGGAUCUGUAGUUUGUCUUUUUGUAUCCUUAGCACCUAACAUUUUCUCAUCCAUUUAACAAUUAUUUCCUCCAACACGUAUUUACUGAGCACCUACUAUCUGCCAGGCACUGUUCUAGGUGCUAAGGAUAUAGCAGUGAACAAAACUGAGAAAAUCUUUGCUCAUCUGAAGCUAAUAUUGUUGAGGGAGGAUAAGGCUAAAAAAUAAGAAUAUGAUGUAGCAGGGAUGAAGAAGAACAAGGGAGAAUAAAGGGAGAGAGAGUGGAAGGAGUGCUGUGUGGACAUGUGUCAUUUUCUAUGGGAGGCCUCUCUGAUGUGACAUUUGAACAGAGCCUGUAGGAAGUGUGGAGAGCCACUGUGCUGUGAUCUGGAAGAGUGUUCCAGGCAGAGGGAACAGCUGAUGAAAGCCCUGAAGUAGGAAUGUGCUUGGUGUGUUUAAAUGACAGUGGUACGGCAAGAGGAGCUGAAUGGAGGGAGGAAGAGUGGAGUCACAGGGCAGGAAUGGAGAGGUACUGAGGGAAGGAGGCAGAUCACUGAUGGCAGAGUUGAUCAGGGCUGGGACGGUGGACUUUAUUCUGAGUGUGAUGGCAGGCUUUUGGGUGGGGAGUGGGACAAGGGAGUGAGAUAAGCUGGUUUAUUGUUCAGUAGUAUCUCUGGCUUCUGUGUGCAAGGCACGGAUGGAAACAGGGAAAGCUGUUAGGAGGUUCUUGCAAUGGUUCUAGCAAGAAACAGACUGGCUGACUGGCUGCUGGAGGUGACUGGCUGGUGGAGGUGGUGAUCACCUCUUAGCAGAGAGUCUUACAUACAAGAGGGGCUAAAUAAAUGUUUAUAGCUUUCCUUCACCUCCAUCCCAAUCUCCCUCCCUCCUAAUAUCUGUAAAAAUGUGCCUUCUUCAGGCAAAUGUAUUUACUUCCACUCAUUUUCUUUUUAGGAGAAUUUGAAAGUAUAUAUAUAUAUUUUCAG
rnacentral:lncRNA from 1 species